rnacentral:rRNA from 1 species
CAGGCUUAACACAUGCAAGUCGAGGGGCAGCAUGGUCUUAGCUUGCUAAGGCCGAUGGCGACCGGCGCACGGGUGAGUAACACGUAUCCAACCUGCCGUCUACUCUUGGACAGCCUUCUGAAAGGAAGAUUAAUACAAGAUGGCAUCAUGAGUCCGCAUGUUCACAUGAUUAAAGGUAUUCCGGUAGACGAUGGGGAUGCGUUCCAUUAGAUAGUAGGCGGGGUAACGGCCCACCUAGUCUUCGAUGGAUAGGGGUUCUGAGAGGAAGGUCCCCCACAUUGGAACUGAGACACGGUCCAAACUCCUACGGGAGGCAGCAGUGAGGAAUAUUGGUCAAUGGGCGAGAGCCUGAACCAGCCAAGUAGCGUGAAGGAUGACUGCCCUAUGGGUUGUAAACUUCUUUUAUAAAGGAAUAAAGUCGGGUAUGUAUACCCGUUUGCAUGUACUUUAUGAAUAAGGAUCGGCUAACUCCGUGCCAGCAGCCGCGGUAAUACGGAGGAUCCGAGCGUUAUCCGGAUUUAUUGGGUUUAAAGGGAGCGUAGAUGGAUGUUUAAGUCAGUUGUGAAAGUUUGCGGCUCAACCGUAAAAUUGCAGUUGAUACUGGAUAUCUUGAGUGCAGUUGAGGCGGGCGGAAUUCGUGGUGUAGCGGUGAAAUGCUUAGAUAUCACGAAGAA